AAUUGUACCAGCUCUUUCCAUUGCAGCUAGACAUUUCAUAAAUAGAUAAUUCUCUAAUUGAUCCAGCCAAUCCUACUUUGCAUACCCUGCCAAACUAGCACAGACUCUUUAGUGCAGUCCUGAUUUCUGUAUUAAUGAAUUGAGAAGAUGACAUCAGGCUCUUAGAUGCACAGGUGCUGCUCCAGAUGAAUAUUGUACUACUGGUACGUACCUGAAAGUGGAAUUCAACCCAAGUGUGAGGACUUGUUUGUGUAGGAAGAUGAGUCUACUCUUAAUGGGCUUGUGUAAUAUGCUGUGGAAGAUCUCUGCUGGACUGGUAUGGAGAGAUGGCAGCAAACAUUGAAACUUGAACUCUUGUUGCACCAAGCAAUGAUGAGGGCAUCUGUGAGACUCCCUCUGCAGUAACUCCCCAUACCUCAAAAACUGAGGGCCUUCAUAAAGAUACUGAUAGUUUUAUUCCUUAUUUCUGUAUUUUAGGCCUUGCCAACAGAGAACUUGACUAGUUAAUUCUGAAUGAGGCAAAAGCUACAGAAAAACAGGAGAUCCUCUACAUAAACUCCUAGAGGCAUAAACAUUAUUUAUAGCAUGUCAUUCUUAUUUAACUGAGGGAAGUAAGUGCUAAUAAAUGCCCAAAAAAAGAUAUUAGAAGUGCGAUUUAGCACAGUCAGGGAUGAUAGUUAUUCAUCAGAAAUACCUAUUAAUUUUUUUUCUAUUUAUUUUCCUUCAUUUUUCAUUGACAUAGUUUCUUAAGAUGCUUUUGAUAUUGAUAGCUCAGGGAGGAGAAAAUGCAUGCGCUAAAGACUCAGAAGAGUUUCUGCAUUUUGAAUUUGCUAGAGAUUUUAUUAAAUAGCACCAUAGCUCAGGACGAGCUGAUGGCAUUUCACAGUCUAUUUCCCCAUAUUCCCUAAAUGCUGAUUUACCAAGAAUGAAAUGAGUGUACACAUACUCUGGAGCAUGUGUUAAAGCUGUGCUAAACAUUUUCCAUGUAACUUCCAGCUGGCAACAUUUUGCCAGAAAGCCUGGUACUUAGAAAUGAUAAAUAAAUAAAACAAACAGAUUCUUGUGUUGUAAUAAGGAGACAAUGGAACAGCUGCAGAGCAUGGAGUAAAUUCAGUUUGACUUGAUGUGGACACAGUGGCUGGAUUUUACCCAUGAGAUAUAAGCAACAUUCAGAUUCUUAAGGGGAAGAUUGUGAAGAGGGAAGAAGGGAUCUCACUGGGAGGUCUCUUAGCACAUUUGGAAAAAUAAACAGAGAAACUAUGAAAAAUAAUAUUUAAGCAGCAAAAUCAGCAUAAGCUGUUCUCCUGCAGUAUGUUGAAGAAACAUGAACUUGUCUUGGGAGGAAAAAAUAAUGAACAGAGCUCUGGUUUUUUUUUGUUGUUGUUGUUGUUUGGAGAGAUAAAAGGAAGAAGAUGGAGGGGGGCUGUAACUUAGGAAGGUGAACAGCAGCCACCAAGCGAAGAAAUGAGAAAUAAUGAAGAUAAGGAAAGCAAAAGCAAAGGUGGCAUAUCAAGGGUGCUUCUAAAGGGUGCCACUAAUUAAAGAAGACACACCCAAACAUUUUGAAACGUAUGCUUCUGUCAUAAACAACAUUUUCAGUUCAAGCAAAUUUUGAGAGCGGUUCCUCAGCGCCAGUAAUGAUAACUAGAAGAGCAAUAGCGAAAACUACAGUAUGUGAGACAUUUAUGUCAGUUUUGCUUAACCUUUUGUGAUUGGGCCAUCUUCUACUUAUAUUAGUGCAUAUUGAUUGCUCCUUGCUGAACAUGGUAUCGUAAUAACUCACUGAGACUUGUGUUAUUGCUGUUCUCUUGUUAUUGAAGGUAAAAUCCUGGGGGUUUUCUCACACAAGGUAGUUCUAUAAAAAUAAGGAUGGACACCCCAAUAUUUAUUUAUGCUUUAGGCACCCACAUUUAGAAACAAUGACCUGUGUAAGGUACUCAGUUUCAGUGGUGAAACUGGAAACCAGGAUCAAACUUAAUAACUGUGCAUCAAGCAGAUAAAUCACAUUCCUGUAUGUUGAUUUCCUGUUAUUCAACCAGUAGGCAGAACUUUCUGAGCUAGAAAUGGCAGUAGUUUAAGAGAAAGUAAAAUGGGGUCACAUUAAUCAUAGCCUCUGACGUUUUCACUCAAAUGCAUGGAGGAGGCUUAGAAAGAAUUUCUGACAUAACCAUCACUUGGACUUUGGCUUGACUGGGUUGUCAUGAUCAAAUGACUUCUUUUGCCUGGUAUGUGCUCUUCUGCUUUUUACAUCCUUGAUAUCCCAGUUUAUACAUGUGCACAUGCUGACUUCCUCCAGGACACCACAACCCAGAGUGAUAAUUGCACUGCUGAAGCUACCCGCUGUGUUAAAGGUCAGCAGAAGGGCCUCAGCGGUGAAGUGGCACUUGCCUAUCAAAAUGCAAAAUACUGGGGUGAAAGAAGUAAAACUCAGCUAUUAUACCUUACAAAACUUGAGAUAUUCAAAGUCGAGUAUAUCAUUCUCAUGUUCCAAUACCCAGAAAAGAAUGUCACAGCAUGACUCCAUCCUCGUGAUGGAGACUGAAGGAAGAAUGAAAAAUAAUGCAAAGUUAUCUCCUUUUUGUUAAAUCUAUUGUAAUCUUGUGUUCUUCCUCUGUUACUGCACUGAAAUAAAGACAUUUUAAUCCCAGGGUACAACUGAGAAAAGCCCUGAUCUAAUAAUUGUAAAACCUCCCGAUCCGAUAUUUUAGAACUCAGAGUACUUGUCACUUAUGAAUAUUCAUACAGACCACUAAAAGAAUUAUAUUCUAUGUGCAGUUAAGGCAGGAAAAGAACAUGGUAAAUUCUAAAGAGACAGCAGUAUUUUAUAGAACAUUUAUCAAAUAUUAAGGACAUCCACAACAAAAUUCUUGCAGGAAAAUUGUUUAGGAGAAGAGUAUGGAACAGUGAUAACACCAUUGUGGAACAGAUCUUUUAGAAGCAAAAAAAAAUAAAAAUACAGGAAUUCAUCUGAAGUAUUAGAAAUAUUGGAAUUCUUCAAGGUAACCUGUUAAUGUGCAUGUUUGUGAUGGGGUGUCCAUGCUGCUCAGCUGAGACUUUGAAUGCAAAAGGCUGAUACAAACUUUGUAAAAUAAAUGAGAAAACUGAAUCAAACACUCUUUUUAAUUUUUUUUUUAAAUGGAAGACAAGAUUUUGAUUGAAGAAGGAAUUUGUCCCCUGAAAACCUGGCCCUUUUAAUGUUAAGUGCCUUCUGAUAAGUCAAUGCUUAUAUAUAAAAAGGCCUAUCUCAUGCUGGCAAGAAAUGGACUUGUUCCAGUGACAGAUGUACUAACCUGAGCAGAUACUUAACAAGUUGGUUUGGAGGACUGAUUUUCAUCUGAAAUGGGAGACUUCUUCUGUUUAAAAUAUUCCCUGAAGAAACGAAAGUGGCCUGUUAUGAAUUCUUCCACUUAUAAACAUUUAUUAAGACUAAAGGUAAGGAAAUGUUGAGACCUCCAGAACCAGAGGCUGAUGGUAGUUCACCUGCUACCAUGGUGCUGCUGAAAGGAAGGGAAUGCUCUCUCCCUCUCCAUCAUCUCUCUUCCUCUCAUUCCUUUGAACCCUCCUCCUGGCCAGACAGUUGUCCCCAGCUCCCAUGAUUUUCCCCUGAAUCUACAUUGGUGGAGUAUUUUUCCCCCCUGCUCACACACACAUCAGGUAUCUCCGCUUGCAGUGUAUGCUUUGUGUGCAGAAUACUCUGUUCUUUCAUUGACUAAAUGAAAUUAAGAUUCCUGCCCCCACUGUGGCAUCACAUGUCCCAGCUCAGCCAGUCCCAUUCAGGACAUACGUUAUUUGACAUACAUUAUUUUUAAGCGGUAGCUGGACCAUCAGCAGGUGCAGAUGCUUGUCUGCUUGGCUGAGUCUACAGUCUGAACUGCUGAAUUUCCUAGACUUUUGGGAAUGGAGGAUGCAACUCAUCUUCCAGGUAAACAUCUUAAUUCUUAGAAAAAAAUUUAAAACUUUAUAGAGAUAAAAAAUAACUUCAAAAAAGGAAGCAUUACAAGCUUGAUGUUUUACCAAGACAGUCCCAAUAUCUUGGAAGAGAGACUUCUUUGGAGUUUUGUGAGAGGUACUAAAGUGUGGGAAAAAAUAUUUCUGUCUCUGUCACCAAGAGUUACAAUUUCCAUUUCUGGAAUUAUGUAAGUAGACAUUUUCGUUUGUGUUCAGUCCCUGCUGCUUUUUAUACUCACUAGUUCAUUGUAUUUCAGUAUGUUUUGCAUCUUUUGAUUAUGCACAGAAGAACUUGUAUUUAAGGAAUUUUGGUUCCAUCCUUCAUCUGAAGAUCUGAAGGAAUGCCUCUGAUUAUUUGCUCUGAUUUUAACUAAAAGUACAUGCUGGGUUUGCUUUUAUGUUGGUAUAUGUCAGACCCUGUCUCCAGAACUACACUUUCCCUGGUACAUCAGUCCUGAAGAUAUUCAAAGAGACCAACAUUUGCUUUUUGUGAGUCUAUGGAUGCUUUAAUCUAUGCCACACAAGUGUGUCUUCAUACUCAGGUGCUGAGAAUCAUAUCCUGUCUUGAGUUAAACACGUGACAAUUCAUUAAAACCAAUGGAGAUGCA